AUACAGAGGGGGCAAGCGUUAUUCGGAAUUAUUGGGCGUAAAGGGCGCGUAGGCGGCUUUUCAAGUGACGGGUGAAAUCCCUCGGCUUAACCGAGGAACUGCCUGUCAGACUGGAAGGCUUGAGACCGGGAGAGGUGAGUGGAAUUCCCAGUGUAGCGGUGAAAUGCGUAGAUAUUGGGAGGAACACCAGUGGCGAAGGCGGCUCACUGGACCGGAACUGACGCUGAGGCGCGAAAGCGUGGGGAGCAAACA
rnacentral:rRNA from 1 species